GUCCAUUAUGGUGGGAAGUGGGUUUGGUUGAAUAGUUCAUGCGAAAGAUCUUGCAGAGGAUUUAUUUGGUUGAUCAAAUGUGAAGGCCAACCUGCCUCGAUUUAUCAUAACUUUCUUGUAAAUUUAUUUCAAUAUUAUAGCACUAUAACAAGUAUUGCUCUUUUAUGCAAAAAAACAGAAAACAAAAAUAAUAAAAACAAUACAAGUUUUUUU